rnacentral:lncRNA from 1 species
GCCAGGUGUGGUGACAGGCAUCUAUAAUCCCAGCUACUCCGGAGGCUGAAGCAGGAGAAUUGCUUGAACCUAGGAGGUUCAAACCUGGGAGGUUGCAGUGAGCUGAGAUCAUGUCACUGCAAUCCAGCCUGGGUGACAGAGGGAGACUCUAUCUCAAAAAAAAAAAAAAAAUAGCAGAGUUCCAAGAAUAUUAAAUUGUCAGCUUAGCCCAGUCUGUUAUGCAAGCUCAGAGUCCUUACUGGGGAAAAAUAGGACCCUGAGAGAUGGAAACAUCUGGGCUGAUACAUUCAAGUUUUAAAUCCUCAGAUUCCUUUGAACCUCUGAAUCUACAGAAGAGUCCCAUGCUUUAAGGACCGAUGCUGGCCAGGUGUGGUGGCUCAUGCUUGUAAUCCCAGUACUUUGGG